UAAUACGUAGGGUGCGAGCGUUAAUCGGAAUUACUGGGCGUAAAGCGUGCGCAGGCGGAUUGUUAAGCAAGAUGUGAAAUCCCCGGGCUUAACCUGGGAAUGGCAUUUUGAACUGGCAGUCUAGAGUGCGUCAGAGGGGGGUGGAAUUCCACGUGUAGCAGUGAAAUGCGUAGAGAUGUGGAGGAACACCAAUGGCGAAGGCAGCCCCCUGGGAUGACACUGACGCUCAUGUACGAAAGCGUGGGUAGCAAACAGGAUUAGAUACCCUGGUAGUCCACGCCCUAAACGAUGUCAACUGGUUGUUGGGGGAGUGAAAUCCCUUAGUAACGAAGCUAACGCGUGAAGUUGACCGCCUGGGGAGUACGGUCGCAAGAUUAAAACUCAAAUGAAUUGACGG
rnacentral:rRNA from 1 species